rnacentral:rRNA from 1 species
CGGAGGGUGCAAGCGUUAUCCGGAUUUACUGGGUUUAAAGGGUGCGUAGGUGGAUAAUUAAGUCAGUGGUGAAAUCUUCAGGCUUAACCUGGAAACUGCCAUUGAUACUAUUUGUCUUGAAUACUUUGGAGGUAAGCGGAAUAUGUCAUGUAGCGGUGAAAUGCUUAGAUAUGACAUAGAACACCAAUUGCGAAGGCAGCUUACUACACAGUAAUUGACACUGAGGCACGUAAGCGUGGGGAUCAAACAGGAUUAGAUACCCUGGUAGUCCACGCCCUAAACGAUGGAUACUCGACAUUAGCGAUAUACAGUUAGUGUCUGAGCGAAAGCAUUAAGUAUCCCACCUGGGAAGUACGAUCGCAAGAUUG